AGAGUUUUGAUCCAUGGCUCAGGAUGAACGCUAGCGGCAGGCCUAACACAUGCAAGUCGAGGGGUAACAGGGAGCUUGCUCCGCUGACGACCGGCGCACGGGUGCGCACCGCGUAUGGAACCUACCUUUUACAGGGGAAUAGCCCAGGGAAACUUGGAUUAAUGCCCCGUGGUACUAUUAUGUGGCAUCACAUUAUAGUUAAAGCCUUCGGGCGGUAGAAGAUGGCCAUGCGUCCCAUUAGUUUGUUGGUAAGGUAACGGCUUACCAAGACUACGAUGGGUAGGGGCCCUGAGAGGGGGAUCCCCCACACUGGUACUGAGACACGGACCAGACUCCUACGGGAGGCAGCAGUGAGGAAUAUUGGACAAUGGAGGAGACUCUGAUCCAGCCAUGCCGCGUGCAGGAAGAAUGCCCUAUGGGUAGUAAACUGCUUUUAUACAGGAAGAAAAAGGGGCACGUGUGCCCUACUGACGGUACUGUAAGGAAUAAGA
rnacentral:rRNA from 1 species